GAUGAACGCUGGCGGCGUGCCUAAUACAUGCAAGUCGAGCAAACAGACGAGGAGCUUGCUCCUCUGACGUUAGCGGCGGACGGGUGAGUAACACGUGGAUAACCUACCUAUAAGACUGGGAUAACUUCGGGAAACCGGAGCUAAUACCGGAUAAUAUAUUGAACCGCAUGGUUCAAUAGUGAAAGACGGUUUUGCUGUCACUUAUAGAUUGAUCCGCGCCGCAUUAGCUAGUUGGUAAGGUAACGGCUUACCAAGGCAACGAUGCGUAGCCGACCUGAGAGGGUGAGCGGCCACACUGGAACUGAGACACGGUCCAGACUCCUACGGGAGGCAGCAGUAGGGAAUCUUCCGCAAUGGGCGAAAGCCUGACGGAGCAACGCCGCGUGAGUGAUGAAGGUCUUCGGAUCGUAAAACUCUGUUAUUAGGGAAGAACAAAUGUGUAAGUAACUAUGCACGUCUUGACGGUACCUAAUCAGAAAGCCACGGCUAACUACGUG
rnacentral:rRNA from 1 species